CACGCAGUAAACGAUGAAUACUAGCUGUAUGCGAUAUACUGUAUGUGGCACAGCGAAAGCGUUAAGUAUUCCACCUGGGGAGUACGUUCGCAAGAAUGAAACUCAAAGGAAUUGACGGGG
rnacentral:rRNA from 1 species